GCACUCGCAGUAUAUGCCGGUGACGCGUGCUUCCUUGAUGGCCGUAGCUCCCAUCGGCGACGCAUCGCUGCUCCAGCACCCACAUCCGAAAGGAGAAGAAACUGACCGCAGUUAGCUUAGCAGGCGUCUGCUGAAGAAUUCGUCUCGGAUUUCACUGGGUAUCCGGUUACAACGAGCACGCACGCAACUUUGAUCGGAUACAUGUUGUGGCCACUGGCCAGUGAUAACGAAAAUGGCUGUGAUCCAGAAUUUGUUUCUGAUGCGGAUGCCAAGCGCCGGGCUGAGCUGUUUAAGUUAAUGGCUGUCUAAUGGGCCGUAGGCUCUUGUUUUUGUUCUCUUAAUCUCACGCACCAUCACCAUCGAUCGUGAAUCUGAAGCUGCAGGGAGGUUGACGUCCAACUAUGUCAGAGGAUCUUCCGGUUCCCUCCCUCCGGGAGACCCCUCCGCCCAGCGAUUAGUCGGCCGCGGAAGAGCGCCUUCCCCACCGCCCCGACUGCCGCCGCCCAGUGCCCAGGCAAAUCCCAUCCCAAAGUGGUUGAUAUGCCCACCCUCUCACGAUCCAUGUUUAAGGUUGGCAGAGUCGCCUCCGAUCUGCUCCGCCGGUUGUCGCUGUUUCCUACUCUUGCGCGACGAGAUGCCACACCUACAGUCAUGACAUCUAAAUCAGCACAUGCUGAUCGUCUUUCUCACCAGGAUUGUCUUUCUCGGCUUGUUUACAAAUCCUGGAUACCUUGCCGACUCAUCUCCAUCGCUCAUGCCACUACAAGAUGCCUAGACACACAAAAUGUGACAACAGAGGACAAGGAGUUAAUAGAUUGCAAACCCAGAAUGGAUAGAAUAUAUUUUGUGCCAGUUAUAAAAGAUAGCAGCCACCGUGAUGGUGCCAUAUACAAGAAUAAGUUCAUACGGGAAGACUUUUGGGAAGGUGAUAUUGCUGACCGUAACGAGAGUGGGACCUAGAGUGAGACCAGGUUGGUUUAGACUUGGUGGUCUGGAACAAGUGACAAGAUUUUGUGUAGGGACAUUCUUUCAAUAGAAGCAAUAUAUGGGUACAUAGAGCAACCGGUUGUUGAUCUCAGGUCACAUGCAUAAGCACAAGUGGCCACAGGUAGAGUUGCGGCACCCGACGGUGCUGGAUGUUUUAUUCCCUGUUAAUCUUCAGGAGCUAGAGCUGAGGACGGAGUUGAUGUGAGUGGAGGUAGUGGCAGCAUGGCCAAAUUUGCCUUUUCCUUGUGCACUAUGGCAUGGGUUCAGUUGCAAAUCUAGCCGCCCAUUUUUUUUACCCUCCACUGCUGCAUACUCCAUCGCUAAGAACGCUUGUGUAAACACACAGAUCACUAGCUAACACUUCUAAGUAUUCUUCAUCUGUAUUUCAAUGGUUUAAAUGUGGUUUCCAGUUAAUUUACCAUUUACCCCUAAACUAGACGUAUACCUUCCUAUUAGCAUUUAAAUAUCAUUUAGACAUCCUAAACACUCAUUUAAGUGAACAUUGCUUGCACUAUAUACUUCCCCUUUAUUCCUAGUGCAUUUGGAUUAAUUCCUAUAAUUUCUAGUAAAGACUUGAGGUUAUAUUUCCACCAUUUUCUUUAUUUAUAAGAGUAUAUCCCUCCCUCCCUCCCUUCCUCUCUCUCAACCCAAACAUAUAACGUUACAACCUCAGUUUUUGUGAAAGAGUUUGCAAUUAUCCAUGCAUACAUUGAUUUAAUUGACAAUAUCCUUUUGAUAGUUUCCUGCAAUUCAGCACAAUAUGCACCGCAAAGAAUGGUUUACCCUUUAUACUCCCUCCAUUUUCUUUUGAUAGUACUACUCCUAUUUCACCUUGACACAAUGACCAAGGGAAACAACCAUGCUUAUCAUCUAAUUAAUGCAACACCAAGCUUUUUGUCGGGUACCACGAUUAGGG